UCCGUCGCCACCACCGGGCGCAGCCCCAGUUCGCGAUAUUCGCGCAUGAUCGCCGCUAGCGCCUGGCGCGGAUCGGCAAGAAACGGU
rnacentral:sRNA from 1 species